UACGGAGGGUGCGAGCGUUGUCCGGAAUCAUUGGGCGUAAAGGGCGCGUAGGUGGCCCGGUCAGUUCGUGGUGAAAGCGCGGGGCUCAACCCUGCGUCGGCCAUGAAUACUGCCGCGGCUGGAGCACUGUAGAGGCAGGCGGAAUUCCGGGUGUAGCGGUGGAAUGCGUAGAGAUCGGGAGGAACAUCUGUGGCGAAGGCGGCCACCUGGACCAGCACUGACACUGAGGCACGAAAGCGUGGGGAGCAAACAGG
rnacentral:rRNA from 1 species